rnacentral:rRNA from 1 species
CCAAUAGCGUAUAUUAAAGUUGUUGCAGUUAAAAAGCUCGUAGUUGAAUUUCGGGAUCAAUAUGUCGGUCGUGCCUCGGUACGUACUGGCGUCAUUGGUUUCUCCCUUCUGAAGAACCUCGAUGUCAUUAAUUUGUUGUCUUGGGGAAUCAGGACUGUUACUUUGAAAAAAUUAGAGUGUUUAAAGCAGGCUCACGCUUGAAUACAUUAGCAUGGAAUAAUGAAAUAGGACGUUUAAUUCUAUUUUGUUGGUUUCUAGGAUUGACGUAAUGAUUAAUAGGGAUAGUUGGGGGCAUUAGUAUUCAAUUGUCAGAGGUGAAAUUCUUGGAUUUAUUGAAGACUAACUACUGCGAAAGCAUUUGCCAAGGAUGUUUUCAUUAAUCAAGAACGAAAGUUAGGGGAUCGAAGACGAUCAGAUACCGUCGUAGUCUUAACCAUAAACUAUGCCGACUAGGGAUCGGAUGAUGUUAAUUUUUUAAUGACUCAUUCGGCACCUUACG